rnacentral:rRNA from 1 species
UACGUAGGGCGCAAGCGUUAUCCGGAAUUAUUGGGCGUAAAGAGCUCGUAGGCGGUUUGUCGCGUCUGCUGUGAAAGACCGGGGCUCAACUCCGGUUCUGCAGUGGGUACGGGCAGACUAGAGUGCAGUAGGGGAGACUGGAAUUCCUGGUGUAGCAGUGAAAUGCGUAGAUAUCAGGAGGAACACCGAUGGCGAAGGCAGGUCUCUGGGCUGACACUGACGCUCAUGCACGAAAGCGUGGGGAGCAAACAGG